GAGGGACUGUUUUCAAAUGUCAGGCUAGCUUCUGUUUUGUAUGGUGAAUGUGUUUGCAUAAGGAAGUACUACCUGUGAGGUUAUUACAAUGAGAAAUAUUCGACAAUGGUGAGAGCACUGUUACCCUCUGCACUUCGACAUGAGGGAACUGUCUCCGGUGGGACACGGCAGGUCAGGACGGGGGAGGAGCCAGCGUCAGAUUCAUGCCUGAGCACUUGAUCCUUUACACUGACUGAUCGGGUGCUUGGGACAAGCCUGUGGAAGUGACAACGUUGAAAAGCGUGUAGCAGCUGAGAGGGGCAGAAGGCACAUUUCCACUGAUGAUUCCCUUUGGGUGUGAACAUCCUGGCGCUCCCAGUGUCUGAGUCAAAUAUGUCAGCAGCUCAUCUUGGUAUUAACCCAGUGAGUCUAUGCCCAACACACCACAAUGCUCUGACAUCACAGAAGCACCCGGAAACAGAAACCAACAUAACUACCACACGGGUCUGCAGGAAGUACAGGCUUUGGACAACGGAUUUAGGGGACAUGUCCUAGAAAUCUAGAGCAGUAGGAGGCCUUGUGAAUGCAUCUUGUAAAAUUCUGAGCACCUGGCAAGGGGAGUCUGCACACCUGUUACCCGAGCUCAAUCCUCUCCCCACUCUGGGCUGUAAUAGAGUCAUACAGUAAAGCACUGAGAUUACUUGAAAUUCUCAGCUUUUUUGCUGUGCAUUUUCAA